CUGGUUGAUCCUGCCAGUAGUGAUAUGCUUGUUUCAAAGAUUAAGCCAUGCAUGUCUAAGUAUAAGCGAACUUAUACAGUGAAACUGCGGAUGGCUCAUUAAAACAGUUUGGAUUUAUUUGAUGAAUGUAUGAGAAUACUACUUGGAUAACCGUAGUAAUUCUAGAGCUAAUACAUGCAACGACGCCCGACCGUUUCACUACGGAAGGGCUGUAUUUAUUGGAUACCAAAACCAUCCUUCCCUCGGGAAGUUUUGUUUGAUGAUUCACAAUAACUGAUCGGAUCGCCACUGUGGUGGCGACAGGUCAUUCAACAUUCUGCCCUAUCAGCUUUCGAUGGUUGUGUAGUGGACAGCCAUGGCCAUAACGGGUAACGGAGAAUCAGGGUUCGAUUCCGGAGAAGGAGCUUGAGAAUUGGCUACUACAUCUAAGGAAGGCAGCAGGCGCGCAAAUUACCCAAUCCCGAUUCGGGGAGGUAGUGACAAAAAAUAACAAUACCGGGCCUUUUUGGGCUUGGUAAUUGGAAUGAGGGAGAGUUAAACGGACCAUCGAGUAUCCAUUGGAGGGCAAGUCUGGUGCCAGCAGCUGCGGUAAUACCAGCUCCAAUAGCGUAUAUUAAAGUUGUUGCAGUUAAAAAGCUCGUAGUUGGACUUGUGUGCGCUGUCCGCGGGUGGCCUGCGCCCAAAAGGGCGUUUCGGUUCGGCCCCGGUGGCGCCUUGAAAUCUGCAGCUGGGGGGACGUUGGCCUUAACUGGUCGGCGACCGCACGCCGGCUGCUCGGUUACUGUGAGAAAAUUAGAGUGUUCAAGGCAGGCAUUGGGUGCAAUUGAAUACAUUAGCAUGGAAUAAUAAAAUAUGGCUCCUGCCGUAUUUUGUUGGUUUUGACUGGUGGGAGUAAUGAUUGAUAGGGACGGUUGGGGGUGCUAGUAUUGAGCGGCCAGAGGUGAAAUUCAUGGAUUCGCUCAAGACUAACUUAUGCGAAAGCAUUCACCAAGGACGUCCUCUUUAAUCAAGAACGAAAGUUGGGGGAUCGAAGACGAUCAGAUACCGUCGUAGUCUCAACCAUAAACUAUGUCGACUUGGGAUCGGCGGUAGUUUUUUCAUUAAGACACUGUCGGGACCACGGGAGAAAUCAAAGUGUCUGGACUCUGGGGGAAGUAUGGUCGCAAGGCUGAAACUUGAAGGAAUUGACGGAAGGGCACCACCAGGAGUGGAGCCUGCGGCUUGAUUUGACCCAACACGGGGAAACUUACCAGGUCCAGAGAUGUAGAGGAUUGACAGAUUGAAGCUCUUUCUUG
rnacentral:rRNA from 1 species